AUCCAAUUCAUCUUCGUCCCUUCUCUCUCUAAAAUCUCCGGUGCAAUAACCUACCCGUGUAUCUCUCUCUCUCAUCACAGUCAGCCGCUUUUCUCUCAAGCACACAAUCAGCAUUGUUCAAAUUCGGAUCGAUUCAUACUCAGGUCGAUUCCGGAUGGAUCAUUUCUGAAUUGGCGGGAACAGAGCGAAUUUGAUCGGAAUACCGUCGUCUGAUUCGGAGGAGGACUGGAAUUCCGCUCAAUUUCAUCACAUUUUCAAGUUUCUACUGGAUUUUGUUGCGCUAAGAGGUGAAAGAAGCCAAUGAUCUCUGG